AACGAACGCUGGCGGCAUGCCUAACACAUGCAAGUCGAACGAGACCUUCGGGUCUAGUGGCGCCCGGGUGCGUAACGCGUGGGAACAUGAACUUAGGGUCGGAAUAACUAUAAGAAAGGGGUGAUAAUACCGGAUAAUGUCUUAGGACCAAAGAUUUAUCGCCUUUGGAUGGGCACGCGUUGGAUUAGCUAGUUGGUAGGGUAAAAGCCUACCAAGGCGACGAUCCAUAGCUGGUCUGUGAGGAUGAUCAGCCACACUGGGACUGAGACACGGCCCAGACUCCUACGGGAUGCAGCAGUGGGGAAUAGUGGACAAUGGGCUAAAUGCUGAUCCAGCAAUGCCGCGUGAGUGAUGAAGGCCUUAGGGUUGUAAAGCUCUUUUACCCGUGAUGAUAAUGACAGUACCGGGAGAAUAAGCUCCGGCUAACUCCGUG
rnacentral:rRNA from 1 species